UAGCCUAAUUUGGUAUAUUUAGAGCACAAUUCAACCCUUAGCCCAUAAAUCCAAGCCCAAUACCCAAUAUUCAUUCCCUAACCCAACGUAAUCUAAAAAGACCUAAGACUUCUAAUGUAAAGGAAGGAAGUUGCUUUCUUCUUCUUCUUCAACUAAGAUUCAACAAUGAAACCCUAACAGACCUAAGGGACGAAGCUACAGCUGCUGAACUCCAAGAACGACCCCCCUUCCCCCCAAUGUAUUUCCGUCAGAUUCUUUAAUGAGAGAUACACAAAACCCUAGGAACCUAAACCCACCCCUGAACCUCUGCGACGCCGACCAGCCUUCCAACGACCACCAGAUCUCUACGCUGCAAAAGCCACCUUCAACUAGCCAUUAAUACCACAUGCUAACCAGCUCCAAAACCUCAUCAAAUACACUCCAAAACAGCUCCAAAUCUUCAUGAGAAUUACUCCAAACCUAGCAUGAAACAACCCCGAAACAACCCAUAAACAAGAUGUAAGACACCUCUAACCAGUCGCAGAACUCCAAAUAACCCGAGAGAUUUGUUCAUGUUUACUAUUUGAGGUAUCAUCUGAGGUUUACCGUCAAAGUUCCGGUCGCCACUCUACUUCUGCGUUGCUGUUUAUUUUUAGUUCGAUCCGACUGACUUUUAUUUUUUUGCUGAGGUAUUCGUUUGAGAUCUUGUUCGCGAUUCCGUAUAAUUUUCUAGUGUUUAAGGAAAUUAGACGUCGCCUUUUGAGGUCCCUCUCUCUUUGAUUAUCCUUUUUUAUUUCAGUUUGUGCUUUCUUGCCUAUGUUAUUUGUCUUGUUUAAUUGCUCAUUCGAUAUUUGUGAUACAAGUAGUCCAUGAUUUAUAGUUAAAUGAGUUUAACGGUUAUGAUAAAUUUGUUAUUUACUUUUGCAACUCUUCAUUAAGAGAUAAAUGUUUGAG
rnacentral:lncRNA from 1 species